rnacentral:tRNA from 1 species
GCUGAUAUAGCUCAGUAAAGGUUAGAGCACAUCCUUGGUAAGGAUGAGGUCGGUGGUUCGAAUCUACCUAUCAGCACCA